AGUGAACGCUGGCGGUAGGCCUAACACAUGCAAGUCGAACGGCAACACAGUAAGAGCUUGCUCUUACGGGUGUCGAGUGGCGGACGGUUGAGGAAUACAUCGGAAUCUACUUUUUCGUGGGGGCUAACGUAGGGAAACUUACGCUAAUACCGCAUACGACCUACGGGUGAAAGCAGGGGAUCUUCGGACCUUGCGCGAUUGAAUGAGCCGAUGUCGGAUUAGCUAGUUGGCGGGGUAAAGGCCCACCAAGGCGACGAUCCGUAGCUGGUCUGAGAGGAUGAUCAGACACACUGGAACUGAGACACGGUCCAGACUCCUACGGGAGGAAGCAGUGGGGAAUAUUGGACAAUGGGCGCAAGCCUGAUCCGGCCAUACCGCGUGGGUGAAGAAGGCCUUAGGGUUGUAAAGCCCUUUUGUUGGGAAAGAAAAGCAGCAGGUUAAUACCCCGCUGUUCUGACGGUACCCAAAGAAUAAGCACCGGCUAACUUCGUG
rnacentral:rRNA from 1 species